AAAACUUUUAAGAUGCUUUUUGCAACGUCAAAACCUUCAAUCAAAUAAAGUGGUACUAACCACCAUGGCAUAAUUCAGUAAACGAUGCUCAAAGAAAGUUAAAUAUCGUAAAUACCUUAAAUCAACAGAAAUAAAUAAUAAAAUAAGAAGAAAAACCAAAGUUUGCCUCUAACCAAAAGUAAUUUGGAAUGGUUUGGUAUAAAAAUGCAAAUGCGGCUGUAUAUUAAACUUAUCGUCAAAUAAAUUCUCAAAAAUAAAGCCAGAUAGAAAACAAAAGGAAAACAAAUGAAAAAGCAAAAGUGAGAAAUCCGGCCCAGCCUUUAUCGCUCUUUGUUGCUGGAGUAAUCGUAACGGUAUCACCAUCGUCCGUUCCUGCAUCUGGAUUGGAUUCAGAAGAUGCACCGGUAUCUAAAGUUAAAAUUGUAGCACUUUGUUGUGCAAGAAGCGCUUGGAAAGUUUCAACAGCUGAUAUUUGCUCGCCAAGGCCAUAAUGAUCGUCCCAAGUACCGUUAUUCCAAUACCACAUGUAACCACAAGUGACACCAUCAGAUCCCCCACUACAAGCAAGGGCGGCAGCUUCUGCACUGCUUUGUAUAUAGGGCAGAAUAGUUUCAACGGUAUAAGGAGCUAACUGCAUCGUAUAACCAAGAAAUCGAGCUAGCAUUCCCUUAAAAGCAGUCUGGUCUGAAUUGCAAGAUUCAGUUGGCUCACAAGAAGGUUCAUAAAUAAUUUUGUCAGAAGUAAAAUAAUAAUCAAGUGCCUUAUUCAUUAAACCUUCCAUAUGGGUUUGCCACACAGAACUGCCAUUCGUAUAGUUAUAUAAGAAUGCAGUGCCAGCAAGGUAGACACCUACAUUGUAACUCCAUUGUUCAUUCGUAAUAGAACUACAAUUUGAAGUUACUGAAGCACCGUCAUAUACAGUAUAAUCGUCUAAAUCAACAAAACCCACAGUUGUAGACCAGUCCCAAACCUUUUGCGCAAGAUCAACAUAGGUAUCGUUGUUAGUAUAACGUGCAAGACGAGCAGCGAGCUGAAAAAGAAUUCCAUUACUAAUGGAGUUCUUAUAAGAAUAACCGUUAUUGAAAGAAUAUAUUUGCCAGCGGACACCACCACCACAUGAACUAGUAUCCCACCUAGACAUAAUUUCAUUAAACACGGCUUGAGCCAAUUCCGUAAAAGAGGCAGAACUAUCACCAGUAGUCAUGUUAACUUCUGCAGCUGACAUAGCACUGAGGCCCCAAAUACCUUGGUCGUCAUUGCCCAAAUCAAAUUUUUCGCUAUUAGGAGCAUAAUCGUUAUUGUCGCCUUUAUUCGCUACAAGGGCACUAAUUAGCAUGUCAAGAUGCGUUGUAUUUCCAGUUGCAGCAUAAGUGUCUGUCAUUGAAUUAAGGCCAGCUCCUGUCAUCCACCAGUAAGCUGUAAAUGUAUGAGAAGUGCUUUGAUAAUAAUUGAGCAUUCCGUCAGUGACGGUAGUCAAGGCACUAUUUAUGGAAUCUUAAAUAUGGUUAAUAAGAUAUAUUCAAAUUGGGUGCGAGACAACUGGCAGACUUACCAUCUGAAGUUACAUCAAAGUCAAAUGCAAACGCGAAAGAAAAAAGAAAGAAAAACUCAAAAAAAAAAGAUAAAUACCUCAUUUUUAUAAAAAACCACCAAUUUCUUUUAGGAUAAAAAAAUAAUAACGAAUGAAUACCUCCUUCAAAGAACGUUGAGAAGUAUGGCUUUGAGAUAGUUGUAUUGUUUACAAAUGCAACAAGCCUUGCUGCGCAAUGGCGCAGUAAACCUAUCAUAGCACGCUCCCACCUCACUAUUGCAACAAUGACAGCCAACAUUUAAAUCACUAUUCGUUAUAACGAUAUUUUUAAGUCUCAUUAAUUAGUAACCAAAUAAAUUUCAAUGCGAGCAAUUUUUGAAUGCAUUU
rnacentral:lncRNA from 1 species